AGGCCCAAACCUCCUGGACAAUAGGGUUCCUCUCCAUCUUGGUCCCGCUGUGGGUGUCUUCAAACUGGACCUGACCAGUGGAGCUGUUCGGUUCCUGAUCCAUGGCGAUGAGCUGGUCAUCAGCCUUCAGGAAAUUGGGGUUGUCCUCCAUUUUGGUUCUGCUGCUGGAUACAUCAAAUGGGAUCCGACCCGUGGCGCUGUUCAGGUCACGGUCCAAGGUUUUCUGUCAGUUCUCCCUCUGCUGGACGGAAACAACACUGGGCUCAUUUGGACCUUCUGAAUAAUUAGAAGACGGGCCAACCUGCUGCAAGAGGUCAAACCCAAAGGCUGAUUAUUACCAGAGAACUCCAGGAAGAUUCAUGAAGCCGACCCGUCUUCCUCACCCUUAGUCACUCACUGUGAGCUGCAGCUCCUGAACAUAGAUACAACUGUCUAAAGUCACACACAAAGAGGCUUACACGGAUUACAAAUCCAGUGUUACGCACGCACAGGUGUUUUGAGACUAUUUUCUCUCCAUACAAAACAGUCAAGUCAGCAUGUAAGUGAAGCCACUACUAAAAAACUGAUUCCUGUUUUCACAAGUGGGUAAAUGUGCACAGGUAGCAGAUAUGUAGCACUGUUAGCAGGGUGUCUGUUAAAUUAAGUACUGUGUUUUAUUGAUAUCUGAAAUAUUUCUAUGUAUACUUCUGUGUAUUCUACCACCAGCUAAAGUGCUAACAUGCUAAUAACUGCCACUAGCCUAAAUGCUAGCUGGCGUUAGCAUGACCGUUAACCAUUGUUAGUCAAAACACUAUCAACAGUUAGCAUAUUUGCAGAAAAAGUUAAUUUGGAAUCGCCAACUGCUGUAAAUCUAAAAACUAUGAACUGUUAGCAUCUUUGUUGAAGAAGUUUUAUGGUUCUCCCUUUGACUCCAGGUUAGAAGGAUGCUAUGUGUAUCUUGUAUCCAAAACAGGUAAGUAAUUUAGUGCUUUAGAAUUUAUACAGAAGAAUAAUGUAGGGGAAGCAAAGUGUGCUAAACAUUUUCAAUGUUAGCAAUAGCGCUUAAGGAAAUAUUUGCGUCGCUAAUAGCGGUUCAGCAGAAGUGUGCCCACCUCUGUUUUUAUAUCUUCAUUUAAUAAUUUAUAGCACUGUGACACCUGUUCUGUCUUCAUGAAAUAUUAUUUUGACGAUCCUGAUAGAUAAAGCCUCAAAACUGUUCUUUGUUUCUGUGCAGAAGUGAUUAUCCGACAUGUGCCUGUGAUGCACUGAUGACCUGCGCAGCGUGCGCCACCUCCUGGGACAGGAAGCAGCUUAUUGGAAGCCUGAACAGGAUAAAGCACUUAGAGAAAAUGGGCUGCUGGUUGGCUGGAUAUGCUUUGUAAUUUGGUGCUAUUUGAUUUGCAAUCUGUCUUGACCGGGACACUCUACUAAAUGAGAUUCUUAGUCGCCAGAGAUUUUAAUUUCAUGGUUAAAUAAAGCCCUAAUAAUAAUAA